rnacentral:rRNA from 1 species
UACGAAGGGUGCAAACGUUGCUCGGAAUCAUUGGGCGUAAAGCGCACGUAGGCGGCCUCAUAAGUCGGAUGUGAAAUCCCUCGGCUCAACCGAGGAAGUGCAUCCGAAACUGCGAGGCUCGAGUAUGGAAGAGGGUCGCAGAAUUCCCGGUGUAGAGGUGAAAUUCGUAGAUAUUCGCAAGAACACCAGUGGCGAAGGCGGCUCACUGGCCCAUUACUGACGCUGAGGCACGAAAGCGUGGGGAGCAAACAGG